rnacentral:misc_RNA from 1 species
GUGCAGGAGAAUUCUGAGGACCUGGGUGAGGACUUGAAACCUUUUUGAAGUUGAGAAUAUCCAAGGAAGAGGCACUUAAGAGACUUGGGAUUCAGUUUAGCAGCCUGUGGACGAACAUCUCACACAAAAUAAGUACUACCAAAGAUACGAGGUUCAAUAGGAAACAAAGAUUUAGACUGAAAUAAAAUAGUAUAAGAAAUAUCCACAUCACGAGCAAAAGAUGGCAUAUGAUUUAUCAAAAAACAUGCCACAAUAACUACAUCAAUUCAAAAUUGUUUAGUAACCUUCAUUUGAAAAAGAAAAGCUCGAGUUACCUCAAGGAGAUGUCGAUUUUUUCUUUUGGUAAUAUUAUUUGGGGAUGGUGUAUCAGCACAGGAGGAUUGAUGGAGAAUACCAUUUUGUAUCAUACGAGACUGAAAACUUCAUGAAAAAUAUUUUCUGGCAUCAUCAUUUCUCAACAUGCGUACAUAAACAUUAAAUUGAGUUUUAAUUUCACCACAAAAAGCACAAAAGUUAUAAAAUAACUCAAAAUGAUUCUUCACUAAAUAUAAUCAAGUAACAUGAGAGUAAUCAUAAGCAAAAAUAACAAAAUAUCUAAAUCUAGUUUUAGAAGUAAUAGA